AUGGUCAUGGCAGAGGGGAUGGCAGUGCUGAGGCAGAACAGGCAGGGCACCAAGGCACAGGAUAUCUAUAAUUGGCCUGAUGAAUCCUUUGAUAAAAUGGACAGUACACUAGCUGCUCAACAGUCUAUUCAACAGAACAUAAGAGCAGAUUGCUCCAAUAUUGACAAAAUUCUUGAAGCACCUAAAGGCCAAGAUGAAGGUGUAUGGAAGUAUGACAUUUAAGACAAUUGUGCCUUGAGCUAAUUGGACUUGCUGUCAAACUUCAGCGUGAAUGCCAUCCAGAUACUUGUACUCAAAUGACAGCAGCUGAACAAUGGAUUUUUCUUUGCAUAGCUCAUAAAACUCCAAAAGAGUGUCGUGCUAUAGACUAUACUAGACACACACUUGUUGGUGCUGCAUGUCUUCUGAAUGGCAAUAAAUAUUUUCCCAGCAGGGUUAGCAUAAAGGAAUCAUCUGUAGUGACACCAAAAUCAGUAUGCCGUAGAAUUUACAGAAUAUUUUCACAUGUUUAUUUUCAUCAUUGGCAGAUAUUUGAUGAAUAUGAAAAUGAAACAUUUUUGUGCCAUUGGUUUAUUAAAUUUGUGAUGAAAUAUAAUUUGAUGUCCAAGGAUAACCUGAUUGUACCAAUUUUAGAAGAGGGAGUACAGAAUUCAAUUUCUGGGGAAAGUGAAGCAUGA
rnacentral:lncRNA from 1 species